GUGGGGAAUCUUCCACAAUGGACGAAAGUCUGAUGGAGCAACGCCGCGUGAGUGAAGAAGGGUUUCGGCUCGUAAAGCUCUGUUGUCGGGGACGAAUGUGCAGUAUUUGAAUAAAGUAGUGCAAUGACGGUACCUGACGAGGAAGCCACGGCUAACUACGUGCCAGCAGCCGCGGUAAUACGUAGGUGGCAAGCGUUGUCCGGAAUUAUUGGGCGUAAAGGGAGCGCAGGCGGGAAGGUAAGUCGGUCUUAAAAGUGCGGGGCUCAACCCCGUGAUGGGAGCGAAACUAUCGUUCUUGAGUGCAGGAGAGGAAAGUGGAAUUCCUAGUGUAGCGGUGAAAUGCGUAGAUAUUAGGAGGAACACCAGUGGCGAAGGCGACUUUCUGGACUGUAACUGACGCUGAGGCUCGAAAGCCAGGGGAGCGAACGGGAUUAGAUACCCCUGUAGUCC
rnacentral:rRNA from 1 species